rnacentral:rRNA from 1 species
UACGAAGGGGGCUAGCGUUGUUCGGAAUCACUGGGCGUAAAGCGCACGUAGGCGGAUUGUUAAGUCGGGGGUGAAAUCCUGAGGCUCAACCUCAGAACUGCCUUCGAUACUGGCAAUCUCGAGUCCGGAAGAGGUGAGUGGAAUUCCUAGUGUAGAGGUGAAAUUCGUAGAUAUUAGGAAGAACACCAGUGGCGAAGGCGGCUCACUGGUCCGGUACUGACGCUGAGGUGCGAAAGCGUGGGGAGCAAACAGG